rnacentral:tRNA from 1 species
UCCAUGGUGGUCCAGUGGCUAAGACACCCUGCUCCCAAUGCAGGGGGACCAGGUUCGAUCCCUGGUUGGGGAA